GUAGGUGGCAAGCGUUGUCCGGAAUUAUUGGGCGUAAAGCGCGCGCAGGCGGGUUCUUUAAGUCUGAUGUGAAAGCCCACGGGCUCAACCGUGGAGGGUCAUUGGAAACUGGAGAACUUGAGUACAGAAGAGGAAAGCGGAAUUCCACGUGUAGCGGUGAAAUGCGUAGAGAUGUGGAGGAACACCAGUGGCGAAGGCGGCUUUCUGGUCUGUAACUGACGCUGAGGCGCGAAAGCGUGGGGAGCAAACAGGAUUAGAUACCCUGGUAGUCCACGCCGUAAACGAUGAGUGCUAAGUGUUAGGGGGUUUCCGCCCCUUAGUGCUGCAGCUAACGCAUUAAGCACUCCGCCUGGGGAGUACGACCGCAAAGGUUG
rnacentral:rRNA from 1 species